UACAUGGGGUGCAAACGUUGCUCGGAAUCAUUGGGCGUAAAGCGCGCGUAGGCGGUUACUUAAGUCGAAUGUGAAAGCCCUCGGCUUAACCGAGGAAGUGCAUCCGAAACUGAGUAGCUAGAGUACGAAAGAGGGUCGCGGAAUUCCCGGUGUAGAGGUGAAAUUCGUAGAUAUCGGGAGGAACACCGGUGGCGAAGGCGGCGACCUGGGUAGAUACUGACGCUGAGGCGCGAAAGCGUGGGGAGCAAACAGG
rnacentral:rRNA from 1 species